rnacentral:rRNA from 1 species
AUUGAACGCUGGCGGCAGGCCUAACACAUGCAAGUCGAACGAGUGGCGGACGGGUGAGUAAUGUCUGGGAAACUGCCUGAUGGAGGGGGAUAACUACUGGAAACGGUAGCUAAUACCGCAUACCAUCAGAUGUGCCCAGAUGGGAUUAGCUAGUUGGUGGGGUAACGGCUCACCAAGGCGACGAUCCCUAGCUGGUCUGAGAGGAUGACCAGCCACACUGGAACUUAGACACGGUCCAGACUCCUACGGGAGGCAGCAGUGGGGAAUAUUGCACAAUGGGCGCAAGUCUGAUGCAGCCAUGCCGCGUGUAUGAAGAAGGCUUUCGGGUUGUAAAGCACUUUCAGCGGGGAGGCGUUACCCGCAGAAGAAGCACCGGCUAACUCCGUGCCAGCCGCCGCGGUAAUUC